CAGUAGCCACGGUAACACGGAGGGUGCAAGCGUUAAUCGGAAUUACUGGGCGUAAAGCGUGCGUAGGCGGUGAGUUAAGUCUGCUGUGAAAUCCCCGGGCUCAACCUGGGAAUGGCAGUGGAUACUGGCUCGCUAGAGUGUGUCAGAGGAUGGUGGAAUUCCCGGUGUAGCGGUGAAAUGCGUAGAGAUCGGGAGGAACAUCAGUGGCGAAGGCGGCCAUCUGGGACAACACUGACGCUGAGGCACGAAAGCGUGGGGAGCAAACAGGAUUAGAUACCCCAGUAGUCCCUGUCUCUUAUAC
rnacentral:rRNA from 1 species